rnacentral:rRNA from 1 species
UACGUAGGGUGCAAGCGUUAAUCGGAAUUACUGGGCGUAAAGCGUGCGUAGGUGGUGAGUUAAGUCUGUCGUGAAAUCCCCGGGCUCAACCUGGGAAUGGCGAUGGAUACUGGCGAGCUAGAGUGUGUCAGAGGAUGGUGGAAUUCCCGGUGUAGCGGUGAAAUGCGUAGAUAUCGGAAGGAACAUCAGUGGCGAAAGCGGCUUCCUGGUCCAGCACCGACGUUCAGGCACGAAAGCGUGGGGAGCAAACAGG